AGUCCUCCCGAUCCCAUCUCUGUGUCUCUCUCUUUGUUCUCAGUCCUCACCCCCCUUCCAGGUACUGUUCACCUGGAUUGCCGGCAGGCCGGACAGGGACCUGACACAGGGGACCAGGUGAAGGACGCCGCCGAAGGAAGGACGCGUCCGGACUGAGCCCGGUUCAAUCGUCAGGCUGGACCUGACAAUUGGUGCCCGACCAGGGACCUGAGGACUUGGGACGCAGAAGGUGAGGAUCUCCUCCCGAUAAAGAGUGCACGCGAUAAGAAGGAGCAAUGCAGCCAAUUCGGGUGCCAGAGAGUCACGUGUGUCACCGAAAUGGACUCAG